GGGAGCGGCCCAAGAAAUAGCAACAACAACAACAACAACAACAAAAAAGACCAAAAAGACAAAAAAAAAAAAAAAAAAAAAAUUUCAUUUCCCCACCAGGCACAUUUCAAGUGUCUAAUAGACGUGGCCGGUAGCUCCUGUAUUAGGCGGAGGAGGCAGGACAUUUCUGUCAUCGCGGGGUGUUCCAUGGGGCAGCACUGAGCCGGGGGGUGUGCUCUUCCAUGGAAUCUGAUAAACAGAGGAAAGCAAAUUAGUGGGGAGCAGGGCCGUGGGUAACUGGGAACUGAGUCAAAUAAAGGCCCUCUCUGCUAUUGGGGUGGCUGUGGCCUUGGACUCUGUGUGGUGCUUUUCUCUGUCAGUGGAGUCAGUGCACAGCACACUUGGGCCAACCAUCAAACACUAGGGACCUCUGAGGCUGGAUUGAGAAAGCUGCCCAGGUGGCCUUGUGCUCCAGGGUCAGGUCGUUUCCAGGCCCGAUGGAUGACACUGUUUGCCUGUGUUCCACAGUCCCUGUGCCUGUGUGAGUUGUGACUCCUUAGGCCUGGGGGAGCCACAGUGGCCGUAAGACAUUACCCUAAAGGCUGCUGCUCUAGACCCGCUUCCCCCUCUGUCUCCCAUCCUUGGUGCAGAUAGCAGCGCCAUUCCCGUGGCCUGGUCCUGAUGUCUGUGACACAGCCUCUGCACCAGUGCAGGGUGUGGUUCCUGUGUAUGACUUUCACUUUCUCCUUACUCUGCACACUUAGCUGCAGGUGCUGAUCCUACCACUCAGCCUGGCUGGUCCCUGAGCCUUGGCAGGCUGCCGGGCUCUGGAGUUCGCUUUGGGCCCCCCCAGCCCACUUAGCAAGGUCAGGGAUCGAAUCGGCAUCCUCAUGGAUACUAGUUGUUUCUUAACCCGCUAAGCCACGAUGGGAACUCCUGAGAUAUUAUAGGAUACAAAGUAGUUGGUAUGUAAUGGGUACCCAAUAAAGGAUAAUACUAUUGGAUCCCUGUGCUAGAAAACGAGCCCCUUCAUGAGGUGAACUCCUUAGGAGUAAGGAUUGUGCCUUUUAUCUCAUCAUCAUUAGAACGAUUCCAGGGACAGAGUAGCUGUGAGAUGACAUUUUUUGAAUGGAAGAUGGAUGGGCGGCGUGUGUAGCCGGUGUGGAGGAAGGAACGGAGGCUGUCUCAUGGAUUCAGGCCAGAGAUGUGGGGCCAGAGCAGGAGAGUGAUGUGUGACUCUGAGGAAAUCUUUAUGACUUGGCAACGCUUUCCAUGUUGGGAAUGAGGAAGAGUGAGACUUGAGAGAGCCAAGAGGUUCUUGCCCUGUGCACAUGGAGGGGGAGAAAAGCAGCGUUAUUAUCUUGGAUGUGCUGACCUUGACGUGGUUGGGAGAUGGUGUGACCGUGCUGAUGGGCCUCGGGGAGAGAUUGAGCUACUUGUGUGUGGAUCUAGGGGUUUGUCCCAAGGGUUAGAGGAGAUGGAGAGAGAUUUUAGCUCCAAACGUGGAACGAUUUUGGAAACAGGCUGCCUUUGAAGGUCAUCAGAUUCCUGUGGACGGAGUAGCACGAGCAGAAGCUGGUCAGCCGUUGCAGGAAAGCUGGAGCACAGUGGUCCAGUGCCUGCCCACUUGGCUGCUACAUCAGUCUGCUUUUCCUGCAAAAUAAAACCGUAAAACCUCAGGGGGACACAACAAUAAGCAUUUAGGGCCUACAGGUCUGCAGUAAACUGGAGGUUGGCUGGGCAACUCUACUGAUCCCCGGUGGACUCACCCACAGAGGUGGGGGUUGCUUGGGGGUUGCUAGACUGAGGUGACUGGCGUGGCUGGGCUCUGCUCCUCGUGUCUCUCAUCCACCCCCAGGCUAGCCCAGGCAUGUUCUCUUGGCUGUGGCAGAGAUGCAAGAGAGCAGGUGCAAGGAUGCCAGGCUGCCGGGGGUCUAGGUUCAGAACCAGCACUGGGGUCACUCUACCGCAUUUUGUUGGCUAAAGCAGACCGCAGGGCCGGCGCAGAUUCAAGAGGUGGGAGAGGAGAAUCCAUUUCUUCUGUGAGAGAAACUACAAAGCCGUGUGACAAGGCUGUGGGUUCGGAAGGGGAAGAAUAAGUGUCAUUAAUGCAACACAAAAUGCUUAGCGGUUAGACCAGCCUUUUUUGAUCUGAAUUCUAUGCACACCUAAAUUCUGAACAUUUUCCUCAGGGAUCCCUGAAAGCCUUGGGGAGUCUGAGUGGCUUGGAACUUCUCUGGAUUGUUAUAAAAGCCUCUUAACAUCGUAUCAAUGAUGUAUUAUUAAUAAUGUAUUAUUAUUUUUUAAAAUUUAAUUUUAUUGGAGUAGAGUCGACUUACAUGCUGUAUUAGUUUCAGAUGUACAACAAAGUGAAUUAGUCACACAUAUAAAUAUAUCCAUUCUUUUUUCCCAUGUAGGUUACUACAAAUGAUCAAGUAGAUUUAAUCAUGUAUUAAGUUGGUAUUAAUACCGGUAAAUGCUAUUGAGGGCUCACUAUGCAUUGGUUAUUUUCGUUCCCUGUUAAAUCCCUGUGAGAAACUUUGAGAUGGGUAUUGCUACUUUUGCCAUUCUGUUGGUGAAAUGACCCUGCACCUUAGAGAGAUUAAGAAUCAGACUGUCACGGGAGUUCCCUAUGUGGCACAGCUGAAACGAAUCCGACUAGUAUCCAUGAGGAGGUGAGUUUUAUCCCUGGCCUCACUCAGUGGGUUGGGGAUCCUGCAUUGUCAUGAGCUGUGGUGUAGGUCUCAGAUCCCAAGUUGCUGUAGCUGUGGAGUAGUUGUAGCUAAUAGUCCUGAUUCGACUCCUAGCCUGGGAAUUUCCAUAUGCAAGGGUGCAGCCCUAAAAAGCCCCCCACCCCCAAAAAAAAGAAAAAA
rnacentral:lncRNA from 9 species